rnacentral:rRNA from 1 species
CCUACGGGUGGCAGCAGUGGGGAAUCUUGCGCAAUGGGCGAAAGCCUGACGGAGCAACGCCGCGUGAGUGAAUGAAGGCCUCCGGGUUGUAAAGAUCUGUUGACAGGGACGAAUAAGCAAUGCGAAUAGUUUUGUGUAUGACGGUACCUGUUGAGACAGCUCCGGCUAACUACGGGCCAGCAGCCGCGGUAAUACGUAGGGAGCAAGCGUUGUCCGGAAUUACUGGGCGGAACGGGCGCGUAGGUGGGCGCUGAAGUCAGGUGUGAAAACCCCGGGCUCAACCUGGAGACUGCACUUGAAACUGGGUGUCUUGAGGGCAGGAGAGGAAAGUGGAAUUCCUGGUGUAGCGGUGAAAUGCGUAGAUAUUAGGAGGAACACCAGUGGCGAAGGCGACUUUCUGGACUGUAACUGACGCUGAGGCGCGAAAGCGUGGGUAGCGAACGGGAUUAGAUACCCGGGUAGUC